rnacentral:rRNA from 1 species
AUGGCGGGCGUGGGGGCCGGGACGGGGGCGUUGGGCUCUGUCAUCGUCAAGCUCGCCACCUUGCUCGGUGACGAGUACACUAUGCUCAAGAAGGUGUGCAAGGACAUCGAGUUCCUCCAGCGCGAGCUCCACCAGAUGCACACUCUGGUGAACGUGCUGGCGGACAUGGAGGGGCUCGACGAGGUUGCCAAGGGCUGGAAAGGCAGCAUGCGCGACCUCAGCUAUGACAUGGAAGAGUGCAUCGACCGCUUCAUGCUCCGCCUCGACAACGGCGACGCCAAGCCCGGGUUCGCCAAGAGGACCGCGCGCCAGCUCAAGACGUUGUUCACGCGACAUGGUAUCGGGACCCAGAUUAAGGAGCUCAAGGCCCGCGUCACAGAGGAGAGCGAACGGCGGCAACGGUUGAAUCUCAACAACUAUGUUCCAGCGAGGCCCGUGGCGAUAGAUCCCAGGCUAGCUGCGUUCCACGCGGUGGGCAAGGACUUGGUGGCCAUGGACGGCCGCAGGGAUGAGGUUAUCUCUUUGUUGGUGGAGGAGAGCGAGGAGCUGAAGGUGGUGGCUAUUGUUGGAGGUGGGGGGUUGGGAAAGACCACCCUCGCCAUGGAGACCCAUCGCAAGAUUGGAGGAAACUACCAGUGUCAAGCUUCGGUGUCGGUGUCAUGCACCCCUGAUCUCGAGAAGCUCUUGAAAGAUGUCUUGUCUCAAAUCGAUGAAGCUGCAUUUAGUAAGUGCCAGUCGGAGAGGUGGGAAAAAGACCAACUAAUCCGUCAGAUCCAGCGGAUCUUGACGGGAAAGAGGUACUUCCUUGUUAUUGAUGAUUUAUGGAAAGUACAAGACUGGGAAUUUAUCAAAGCAGCUUUUUCCGACAAUUAUAAUGGUAGCAGAAUUAUUGCUACUACACGCAUUGCCAAUGUAGCCAAGUCAUGUUGUUCUUACUCAAGUGGUCGGCUCUAUCAAAUGCUACCUUUGAAUGAUGUUGAUUCCCGAAGAUUAUUCUUUAAGAGAAUUUUCGACUCAGAAAACUCAUGCCCUUCUCAACUAGAAAAGGUUUCAGCUAGGAUCUUAAAAAAAUGUGAUGGUCUGCCAUUGGCUAUAAUUACCAUUGCGAGUUUGCUAGCCAAUAAACCUUGGAGCGCAGAUGAAUGGGAGAGACUCCAAGAUUCCGUUGGUGCUGGUCUUUCAUAUGAGAGUGAUGAUGGCGGAAAGGGUAUGGCACAUAUAUUGUUACUUAGUUAUUGGGAUCUGCCACACCACUUGAAGACUUGUUUGUUAUACUUAUGUAUAUACCCAGAGGACGCGGAAAUCUCGUGUGAAGAACUGAAAUGGAAAUGGAUAGCCGAAGGGUUUAUUGCUACAAAACAGGGAAAUUUGUAUCAAGAAGCAGAGAGUUGUUUUAAUGAACUUGUCAAUAGAAGCAUGAUCCAGAUAGUUGAUGUUGGCAGUUUUGAAGAAACAUAUUGUAAGGUUCAUGAUAUGGUGCUUGACCUUAUAGUUUCUCUGUCAGCUGAAGAGAAUUUUGUCACUGUUUUAAACGGUGUCUACAAUUCUUUGCCAACCAAGAUCCGUCGACUCUCCCUGCAAUCUAGUGUGUUUGAACAGAAAGAGGCAAUCCAAGCCAUCACAAGAAGCAAGUUACAUCUUCGCUCAUUAAAUUUGUUUGGGGAAACAGAGGAGAUACCCCCACUUGUGGACUUUCUGUCCUUGCGUGUGCUUGAUAUAUCCAUGGAUUUUUUCUUGUUGGAAAACAAGCAUAUAAGAAAUAUAGGAAGUUUCUACCAACUGAGGUAUUUGAGGAUGCACAGACCAGGAAUAGGAAUCACAGAGCUUCCUGCAGAUAUUGGAAAGCUACAGAACUUAGAGAGUUUGGAUUUGCGGGGCAAUCAAGGUUUUAAACUGCCAUCAACAAUAACCCGGCUACAGAAACUGGUGCGCCUAUUCAUUGACGACAGUGAGUUUGUGUUUUCUGCUGAUAUGUUUGGGAGCAUGCGAGCACUAGAGGAAGUGUCAGAUAUAUGUGAAGUCAACAACCCUGAGAAUUUUUUGGAAGAGCUUGGACAUUUAACAAAAAUGAGAAAGUUCUCGAUGAGUCGGUUAGGGAAGUGGUGGUUUCGAGAUUUUGAAUGCUAUAGAGAAAGACUGGGGUCAUCUCUAAAUAAAUUGGGUAAAUAUAGCCUUCAGUAUCUUCAUACUGACGGAGAUAUGGGAAACAUUAUAUUCAGGGAUCCAUGCUGCACCUUUCCGCACCUCCAACAUCUUAAACUAGUGCGUGAAAUGGAAAGGGUUCCCAAGGGAAUUGCCUCGCUAACCAACAUCUUGAAAUUGGAGAUAGAAGCCAAACUAUUUGAUGAGGAAGGUCUCCACAUUCUCAUGGGUAUGCCUUCUCUGGCCUAUCUCCGUCUAUGGGUAGGAUUCAUGAGCCCCCUGACUGUUAGCAGUAAUGGAUUCAAGCUCCUAGAGGUGUUCCACUGCCACAUAUCAUACGGAGAAGUGGGGAUAGAAUUUGCAGCAGGUGCUAUGCCAGCACUCCGACGGCUCCAUCUUUCCUGGAAUGCACUGUUUUUUAUGUUGAGGUCUAGUGAUGGUGCUGGCAUGGGCAUCCAACAUCUUUCAAGCCUUGUGCAUCUCCAGGUCGAAAUUGAUUGUAGUAGCGCAACCCUGGAGGAGGUGGAGGCCCUGGAGGGUCGCGUUGAAAAAGCAGUCACCUUACAUCCCAACCGUCAGACUCUUCAGUUCCAUCUCCAUAGAAAAUAUGAAGAUCUUAUGUUCAAGGACGAGGAGGAAAGGGAGAAGGUCGAAACUAAUUGUUGUGCUGGUGCAUCUUUGGAGGAGGUGGGGCCCGCUGGUUACCUUGCAAGAGAACUCGCCUGCUUGCGUCUCAGCUGUAAGAUUGAAAAACUCGCAAACCAUAGAUCAUAUGGUUCCAUGUACAAGCGCGAGGAGGAAAGGAAAAGGGGAAGGCGAUCUGCCACAUCGGAGGAGAAUGCGCAAGAGCAGCAAGAAGACCAGGUGAUCUGA